rnacentral:rRNA from 1 species
CAGUAGCCGCGGUAAUACGUAGGGUGCAAGCGUUAAUCGGAAUUACUGGGCGUAAAGCGUGCGCAGGCGGUUAUAUAAGACAGAUGUGAAAUCCCCGGGCUCAACCUGGGAACUGCAUUUGUGACUGUAUAGCUAGAGUACGGCAGAGGGGGAUGGAAUUCCGCGUGUAGCAGUGAAAUGCGUAGAUAUGCGGAGGAACACCGAUGGCGAAGGCAAUCCCCUGGGCCUGUACUGACGCUCAUGCACGAAAGAGUGGGGAGCAAACAGGAUUAGAUACCCCUGUAGUCCCUGUCUCUUAUAC